CCUACGGGUGGCAGCAGUGAGGAAUAUUGGUCAAUGGCCGUAAGGCUGAACCAGCCAAGUCGCGUGAGGGAUGAAGGUCCUAUGGUUUGUAAACUUCUUUUGUCAGGGAGCAAAGGUAGCCACGUAUGGCGAUUUGCAUGUACCUUAAGAAAAAGCAUCGGCUAACUCCGUGCCAGCAGCCGCGGUAAUACGGAGGAUGCGAGCGUUAUCCGGAUUUAUUGGGUUUAAGGGGUGCGAAGGUGGAUUGUUAAGUCAGCGGUAAAAUUUCGGGGCUCAACCCCGACGUGCCGUUGAAACUGGGGUACUUGAGUGUGUGAGAAGUAGGCGGAAUGCGUGGUGUAGCGGUGAAAUGCAUAGAUAUCACGCAGAACUCCGAUUGCGAAGGCAGCUUACUGGCGCAUAACUGACGCUGAGGCACGAAAGCGUGGGGAUCGAACAGGAUUAGAUACCCCAGUAGUC
rnacentral:rRNA from 1 species